rnacentral:rRNA from 1 species
GACCUGCGGAGGGAUCAUUACACAAUAAAAUAUGAAGGCUGUACGCGGCUGUGCUCUCGGGCCAGUUUUGCGGAGGCUGAAUUAUUUAUUACCCUUGUCUUUUGCGCACUUGUUGUUUCCUGGGCGGGUUCGCCCGCCACCAGGACCACAUCAUAAACCUUUUUUAUGCAGUUGCAAUCAGCGUCAGUAUAACAAAUGUAAAUCAUUUACAACUUUCAACAACGGAUCUCUUGGUUCUGGCAUCGAUGAAGAACGCAGCGAAAUGCGAUACGUAGUGUGAAUUGCAGAAUUCAGUGAAUCAUCGAAUCUUUGAACGCACAUUGCGCCCUUUGGUAUUCCAAAGGGCAUGCCUGUUCGAGCGUCAUUUGUACCCUCAAGCUUUGCUUGGUGUUGGGCGUUUUUUGUCUUUGGUUGCCAAAGACUCGCCUUAAAAGGAUUGGCAGCCGGCCUACUGGUUUCGCAGCGCAGCACAUUUUUGCGCUUGCAAUCAGCAAAAGAGGACGGCAAUCCAUCAAGACUCCUUCUCACGUUUGACCUCGGAUCAGGUAGGGAUACCCGCUGAACUUAAGCAUAUCAAUAAGCCCGGAGGAAA